rnacentral:rRNA from 1 species
GUAAACCAUAGCGAGCAAACCGUGGCGGCAUCGCAAGGCGUCGUCGCGGUUAAUAAGGAUAACCCUGGUAAUUCUGAGGCUAAUACAAGAACGUACAACCCACCCGACCCGCGAGGGAAGGGGGGGGAAUGUGUGACCAGGCACGCAAAUUCGAAACUGGGAGUGGCCACACGUUCAGACCGUCAUACCAAACAGUCGCUCGCUUUGAAAGUCCUCGUGACGAGUAAACGGCGGGCUUCUGGGCGGCUCUCGCUGUGUGCUUCUGACCUAUCAACUAGAUGGCAGCGUAACGGACAUGCUAUGGUGACAACGGGUACAGAGGAUAAGGGUUCGAUCCUGGAGAGUGGGCCUGAGAGAUU